rnacentral:rRNA from 1 species
GGCCGCGGGAAUUCGAUUCAGGCCUAACACAUGCAAGUCGAGCGAUCUUCUUCGGAAGAGAGCGGCGGACGGGUGAGUAACGCGUGGGUAACCUGCCCUGUACACACGGAUAACAUACCGAAAGGUAUGCUAAUACGAGAUAAUAUGCUUUUAUCGCAUGGUAGAAGUAUCAAAGCUCCGGCGGUACAGGAUGGACCCGCGUCUGAUUAGCUAGUUGGUGAGGUAACGGCUCACCAAGGCAACGAUCAGUAGCCGACCUGAGAGGGUGAUCGGCCACAUUGGAACUAAGACACGGUCCAAACUCCUACGGGAGGCAGCAGUGGGGAAUAUUUCAAAAGGGGCGAAAGCCUGAUGCAGCAACGCCGCGUGACUUUAAGAGGCCUUCGGGUCGUAAAGCUCUGUCCUCAAGGAAGAUA